UACGGAGGAUCCAAGCGUUAUCCGGAAUUACAGGGUUUAAAGGGUCCGUAGGCGGGAUAAUAAGUCAGUGGUGAAAGUCUGCCGCUUAACGGUAGAACUGCCAUUGAUACUGUUGUCCUUGAGUAAUUAUGAAGUGGUUAGAAUAUGUAGUGUAGCGGUGAAAUGCAUAGAUAUUACAUAGAAUACCGAUUGCGAAGGCAGAUCACUAAUAAUUUACUGACGCUGAGGGACGAAAGCGUAGGUAGCGAACAGG
rnacentral:misc_RNA from 1 species